rnacentral:rRNA from 1 species
GACGAACGCUGGCGGCGUGCCUAACACAUGCAAGUCGAGCGGAGACAGUGAGUAGCUUGCUACGAACUGUUUUAGCGGCGGACGGGUGAGUAACGCGUGAGCAACCUUUCCCAGACAGGGGAAUAACACACCGAAAGGUGUACUAAUACCGCAUAAGACCACGGGAUCACAUGGUUCUGGGGUAAAAGAAUUAUCGGUUUGGGGUGGGCUCGCGUCCGAUUAGGUAGUUGGUGAGGUAACGGCCCACCAAGCCGACGAUCGGUAGCCGACCUGAGAGGGUGAUCGGCCACAUUGGGACUGAGACACGGCCCAAACUCCUACGGGAGGCAGCAGUGGGGAAUAUUGGGCAAUGGGGGGAACCCUGACCCAGCAACGCCGCGUGGAGGAAGAAGGUUUUCGGAUCGUAAACUCCUGUC